rnacentral:rRNA from 1 species
CCUACGGGUGGCUGCAGUGGGGAAUAUUGCACAAUGGGCGCAAGCCUGAUGCAGCCAUGCCGCGUGUGUGAAGAAGGCCUUCGGGUUGUAAAGCACUUUCAGCGGGGAGGAAGGCGGUGAGGUUAAUAACCUCAUCGAUUGACGUUACCCGCAGAAGAAGCACCGGCUAACUCCGUGCCAGCAGCCGCGGUAAUACGGAGGGUGCAAGCGUUAAUCGGAAUUACUGGGCGUAAAGCGCACGCAGGCGGUCUGUCAAGUCGGAUGUGAAAUCCCCGGGCUCAACCUGGGAACUGCAUUCGAAACUGGGAGGCUAGAGUCUUGUAGAGGGGGGUAGAAUUCCAGGUGUAGCGGUGAAAUGCGUAGAGAUCUGGAGGAAUACCGGUGGCGAAGGCGGCCCCCUGGACAAAGACUGACGCUCAGGUGCGAAAGCGUGGGGAGCAAACAGGAUUAGAUACCCGUGUAGUC